AAUAGAUACCCCGGUAGUCCACGCCGUAAACGUUGGGCGCUAGAUGUGGGGGCCAUUCCACGGUUUCCGCGUCGUAGCUAACGCAUUAAGCGCCCCGCCUGGGGAGUACGGCCGCAAGGCUAAAACUCAAAGGAAUUGACGGGGGCCCGCACAAGCGGCGGAGCAUGCGGAUUAAUUCGAUGCAACGCGAAGAACCUUACCAAGGCUUGACAUAUACGAGAACACUGCAGAAAUGUAGGACUCUUUGGACACUCGUAUACAGGUGGUGCAUGGUUGUCGUCAGCUCGUGUCGUGAGAUGUUGGGUUAAGUCCCGCAACGAGCGCAACCCUCGUCGCAUGUUGCCAGCACGUAAAGGUGGGAACUCAUGUGAGACUGCCGGGGUCAACUCGGAGGAAGGUGGGGAUGACGUCAAAUCAUCAUGUCCCUUAUGUCUUGGGCUUCACGCAUGCUACAAUGGCCGGUACAAAGGGCUGCAAUACCGUAAGGUGGAGCGAAUCCCAAAAAGCCGGUCUCAGUUCGGA
rnacentral:rRNA from 1 species